GAGAUUGUAGAACUUAUUGUAAGAAUUCUUCACAUAAAAUUUUUUUUCUUUUUUUUUUCUCUGUUUCUUUCUCACGCCGCCACCGUUCGCUGCCCUCGGUACCCGUCUCUCUUUUUUUAAUUUUUUUUAAUAAAUCAGAUUUUUGCUUACUAUUCAAAUCACCCAACAUCUGAAUUUGUUUUUUCUCACUAAUGCAAUUUGAUUCAUC
rnacentral:lncRNA from 1 species